AGCUUUGCGCAGUGGCGAUAUCGUAACCAAUGAGGUUUUACCGAGGUGCGAUUAUUGCUAGUUGAAAACUGAUACUGUUUAUAGAAUAAGUUAUAUGUUAUUAGUAUAAUGUAUUCUAAGUAUGUGGAGUUAAAUGUAAU